GACGAACGCUGGCGGCGUGCCUAAUACAUGCAAGUCGAGCGGACCACUUCGGUGGUCAGCGGCGGACGGGUGAUUAACACGUGGGCAACCUGCCUGUAAGACUGGGAUAACACCGGGAAACCGGUGCUAAUACCGGAUACUCCUUUCCUUCACAUGAGGGAAAGCUGAAAGACGGUUUCGGCUGUCACGUACAGAUGGGCCCGCGGCGCAUUAGCUAGUUGGCGAGGUAACGGCUCACCAAGGCAACGAUGCGUAGCCGACCUGAGAGGGUGAUCGGCCACACUGGGACUGAGACACGGCCCAGACUCCUACGGGAGGCAGCAGUAGGGAAUCUUCCGCAAUGGACGAAAGUCUGACGGAGCAACGCCGCGUGAGCGAUGAAGGCCUUCGGGUCGUAAAGCUCUGUUGUCAGGGAAGAACAAGUACCGGAGUAACUGCCGGUACCUUGACGGUACCUGACCAGAAAGCCACGGCUAACUACGUGCCAGCCGCCGCGGUAA
rnacentral:rRNA from 1 species